GACGAACGCUGGCGGCGUGCUUAACACAUGCAAGUCGAACGGAAAGGCCCCUUUGGGGGUACUCGAGUGGCGAACGGGUGAGUAACACGUGAGUAACCUGCCCUUGACUUCUGGAUAACUUCAGGAAACUGGGGCUAAUACCGGAUAGGAAUCCUUGCUGCAUGGUGGGGGUUGGAAAGCUUCGGCGGUUUUGGAUGGACUCGCGGCUUAUCAGCUUGUUGGUGGGGUAGUGGCUUACCAAGGCUUUGACGGGUAGCCGGCCUGAGAGGGCGACCGGCCACACUGGGACUGAGAUACGGCCCAGACUCCUACGGGAGGCAGCAGUGGGGAAUAUUGCACAAUGGGCGGAAGCCUGAUGCAGCAACGCCGCGUGCGGGAUGACGGCCUUCGGGUUGUAAACCGCUUUCAGCAGGGGCGAAGCUUGUGGUGACGGUACCUGCAGAAGAAGCACCGGCUAACUACGUG
rnacentral:rRNA from 1 species